GAUGAACGCUGGCGGCGUGCCUAACACAUGCAAGUCGAGCGGCAGCGAGGGGUGCUUGCACCCUGUCGGCGAGCGGCGGACGGCUGAGUAACGCGUGGGAACGUGCCCCAAAGUGAGGAAUAACUGCCCGAAAGGGUAGCUAAUACCGCAUAUUAUCUUCGGAUCAAAGGAUUUAUCCGCGUUGGGAGCGGCUCGCGUCGGAUUAGGUAGUUGGUGAGGUAAUGGCUCACCAAGCCGACGAUCCGUAGCUGGUCUGAGAGGAUGACCAGCCAGACUGGAACUGAGACACGGUCCAGACUCCUACGGGAGGCAGCAGUGAGGAAUCUUCCACAAUGGGCGAAAGCCUGAUGGAGCAACGCCGCGUGCAGGAAGAAGGCCUUCGGGUUGUAAACUGCUUUUAUAAGUGAGGAAUAUGACGGUAACUUAUGAAUAAGGAUCGGCUAACUACGUG
rnacentral:rRNA from 1 species